rnacentral:rRNA from 1 species
UACGUAGGGGGCGAGCGUUGUCCGGAAUUAUUGGGCGUAAAGGGUACGUAGGCGGUUUUUUAAGUCUGGUGUGAAAUUGGUGGGCUCAACCCACCCAAGCAUUGGAAACUGGAAAACUUGAGUCAUGGAGAGGAAAGUGGAAUUCCUAGUGUAGCGGUGAAAUGCGUAGAUAUUAGGAGGAAUACCGGUGGCGAAGGCGACUUUCUGGACAUGUACUGACGCUGAGGUACGAAAGCGUGGGGAGCAAACAGG